rnacentral:rRNA from 1 species
UACAGAGGGUGCAAGCGUUGUUCGGAAUUAUUGGGCGUAAAGAGCGUGUAGGCGGCUUGAUUAGUCUGCUGUGAAAGUCCAGGGCUCAACCCUGGAAUGCCGGUGGAUACUGUCAAGCUAGAGUCCGGAAGGGGCGAGUGGAAUUCCUGGUGUAGCGGUGAAAUGCGCAGAUAUCAGGAGGAACACCGGUGGCGAAGGCGGUUCUCUGGGCCUUACCUGACACUGAGGAGCGAAAGCGUGGGGAGCGAACAGG